rnacentral:rRNA from 1 species
UCGUACCUACGGGGCGCAGCAGUGGGGAAUAUUGCACAAUGGGCGAGAGCCUGAACCAGCCAAGUCGCGUGAGGGAAGACGGUCCUAUGGAUUGUAAACCUCUUUUGCCGGGGAGCAGAAAGCGGUACGUGUACCGCAUCGAGAGUACCCGGAGAAAAAGCAUCGGCUAACUCCGUGCCAGCAGCCGCGGUAAUACGGAGGAUGCGAGCGUUAUCCGGAUUUAUUGGGUUUAAAGGGUGCGCAGGCGGCGAGUUAAGUCAGCGGUAAAAUUUCGGGGCUCAACCCCGACGAGCCGUUGAAACUGG